AUUGAACGCUGGCGGCAGGCCUAACACAUGCAAGUCGAGCGAGCGGCGGACGGGUGAGUAAUGUAUGGGGACUGCCCGAUAGAGGGGGAUAAAUACUGGAAACGGUGGCUAAUACCGCAUACUAUCGGAUACCCCAUAUGGGAUUAGCGAGUAGGUGGGGUAAAGGCUCACCUAGGCGACGAGCUCUCGCUGGUCUGAGAGGAUGAGUGGCAACACUGGACGGGAGACACGGCCCAGACUCCUACGGAGGCAGCAGUGGGGAAUAUUGCACAAUGGGCGCAAGCCUGAUGCAGCCAUGCCGCGUGGGGGAUGAAGGCUUUCGGGUUGUAAACCUCUUUCGCUAUCGAACGGGUAGGUGGAGAAGAAGCGCCGGCUAACUACGUGCCAGCAGCCGCGGUAAUUC
rnacentral:rRNA from 1 species